rnacentral:rRNA from 1 species
UACAGAGGGGGCAAGCGUUGCUCGGAAUUACUGGGCGUAAAGGGCGCGUAGGCGGCCUUCUAAGUCGAACGUGAAAUCCUUGGGCUCAACCCAGGAACUGCGUCCGAGACUGGGAGGCUUGAAUCCGGGAGAGGGAUGCGGAAUUCCAGGUGUAGCGGUGAAAUGCGUAGAUAUCUGGAGGAACACCGGUGGCGAAGGCGGCAUCCUGGACCGGUAUUGACGCUGAGGUGCGAAAGCGUGGGGAGCAAACAGG